rnacentral:rRNA from 1 species
GAUGAACGCUGGCGGCGUGCCUAAUACAUGCAAGUCGAGCGAACGGACGAGAAGCUUGCUUCUCUGAUGUUAGCGGCGGACGGGUGAGUAACACGUGGAUAACCUACCUAUAAGACUGGGAUAACUUCGGGAAACCGUAGCUAAUACCGGAUAAUAUUUUGAACCGCAUGGUUCAAAAGUGAAAGACGGUCUUGCUGUCACUUAUAGCUGGAUCCGCGCUGCAUUAGCUAGUUGGUAAGGUAACGGCUUACCAAGGCAACGAUGCAUAGCCGACCUGAGAGGGUGAGCGGCCACACUGGGACUGAGACACGGUCCAGACUCCUACGGGAGGCAGCAGUAGGGAAUCUUCCGCAAUGGGCGAAAGCCUGACGGAGCAACGCCGCGUGAGUGAUGAAGGUCUUCGGAUCGUAAAACUCUGUUAUUAGGGAAGAACAUAUGUGUAAGUAACUGUGCACAUCUUGACGGUACCUAAUCAGAAAGCCACGGCUAACUACGUU